rnacentral:tRNA from 1 species
AGAUAAUUAGUCUAAAAAAAACGUUUGAUUUCGGCUCAAAAACUUAUGGUUAAACUCCAUAAUUAUCUU